rnacentral:lncRNA from 1 species
AGGGUUACUGGGAGCACUGGGAGGGACUGGCAGGGAACUGGACCAAACUGGGAUGUACUGGGAGCACUGGGAGGUUACUGGGAUGUACUGGGAGGGCACCGGAAGCGCCACCCGCCGCAGGGGCCGCCGGGAGUUGUAGUCCCCGCCUCACACCCGCCCGUGACGUCACCAGCACCGCCCACUCUCCCUCCUUAUUGGCCAACCCUCCACCCCGCCCUCACUCCUGAUUGGCCUAUCCAAUACGCCCUCCGAUUGGCCGAUCCCCACGCGGUGGGCGGGACGCGUGAGCUGAUUGGUGCGCGCAGAGCGCGUCGGGCGCUGAUUGGUGGAGGCGGGAACCCGGAAGUGGCGGGGGCAGCGCGGGGCGAAAGCGGCGGUGAGGGGGGAGGGGGCGGGGGGGGGGAGACCCCAAAUUUGGGGGUCCCGGGGGGGUCCCGGGGAAUUUUGGGGGUCCCUGGGGGGGUCCCGGGGAAUUUUGGGGGGUCCUGGAGGAGAUUCCCGGGAAUUUUGGAUCGUUUCUGGGCAUUUUGGGGGGGUCCCGAUAAUUUGGGGGGUCCUGGGGGGGUCCCACAGAAUUUGGGGUGUCCCACGGGGGGUCUCGAUAAUUUGGGGGGGGUCCCGUUAAUUUUGGGGGUCCCUGGGGGGGAUUCCCGGGAAUUUUGGGAGGUCCCAAAAAUUUUGGGGGUUCCCAGGGGGGGGGUCCCGAUACUUUUGGGGGGGGAACCGAUAAUUUUGGGGGGCUCGGGGGGAUUUUGGGGGUCCCUGACCCCCCCUCCCCCCCCUUCACUUGCAGCCGCCCCGGAGCCCCAUGAGAGCCGCGGGUACGGGGGGGGGGAGGGGAUUUGGGGGGAUUUUGGGGGGAGCCUGGCUGGCGAUGACGUCACUGCUGGGCCCGCCCCGGGCCCCGCCCACCCUGCUGCGGCUGCUGCGGCGUGAGUGGGCGGGGCCAGAGGGGGCGGGGCCAAUGGGGGCGGGGCUAAACGGGAGGGCAAAAUAACCCACAGGGG